rnacentral:rRNA from 1 species
GACGAACGCUGGCGGCGUGCUUAACAUAUGCAAGUCGAACGGAAAGGCCCUGCUUUUGUGGGGUGCUCGAGUGGCGAACGGGUGAGUAACACGUGAGUAACCUGCCCUUGACUUUGGGAUAACUUCAGGAAACUGGGGCUAAUACCGGAUAGGAGCUCCUGCUGCAUGGUGGGGGUUGGAGAGUUUCGGCGGUUGGGGAUGGACUCGCGGCUUAUCAGCUUGUUGGUGGGGUAGUGGCUUACCAAGGCUUUGACGGGUAGCCGGCCUGAGAGGGUGACCGGCCACAUUGGGACUGAGAUACGGCCCAGACUCCUACGGGAGGCAGCAGUGGGGAAUAUUGCACAAUGGGCGGAAGCCUGAUGCAGCAACGCCGCGUGCGGGAUGACGGCCUUCGGGUUGUAAACCGCUUUCGCCUGUGACGAAGCGUGAGUGACGGUAAUGGGUAAAGAAGCACCGGCUAACUACGUG